rnacentral:rRNA from 1 species
GCUUAGGCGUGUGACUGCGUACCUUUUGUAUAAUGGGUCAGCGACUUAUAUUCUGUAGCAAGGUUAACCGAAUAGGGGAGCCGAAGGGAAACCGAGUCUUAACUGGGCGUUAAGUUGCAGGGUAUAGACCCGAAACCCGGUGAUCUAGCCAUGGGCAGGUUGAAGGUUGGGUAACACUAACUGGAGGACCGAACCGACUAAUGUUGAAAAAUUAGCGGAUGACUUGUGGCUGGGGGUGAAAGGCCAAUCAAACCGGGAGAUAGCUGGUUCUCCCCGAAAGCUAUUUAGGUAGCGCCUCGUGAAUUCAUCUCCGGGGGUAGAGCACUGUUUCGGCAAGGGGGUCAUCCCGACUUACCAACCCGAUGCAAACUGCGAAUACCGGAGAAUGUUAUCACGGGAGACACACGGCGGGUGCUAACGUCCGUCGUGAAGAGGGAAACAACCCAGACCGCCAGCUAAGGUCCCAAAGUCAUGGUUAAGUGGGAAACGAUGUGGGAAGGCCCAGACAGCCAGGAUGUUGGCUUAGAAGCAGCCAUCAUUUAAAGAAAGCGUAAUAGCUCACUGGUCGAGUCGGCCUGCGCGGAAGAUGUAACGGGGCUAAACCAUGCACCGAAGCUGCGGCAGCGACGCUUAUGCGUUGUUGGGUAGGGGAGCGUUCUGUAAGCCUGUGAAGGUGU